UGACCUUCUCUAGGUCCCUGCUGGUGCUACCCGGAUAUGAAGUGCUUCUGGAAUAUGCUCCUUGUCUAGCCAGCAACAGCUUUCCCUGAAACACUCUCCUUGAUGGCAGGUGAGGGUCACCUCAGUGGAGAGGGUCACCCUGUUACCAUGUCUCCUCCAAGGCAGGUGAGUGUCACGGUCUUUAAAAAGUGUUCCUUCAGAUAAAGAACUACUUAAUGCUUAUUUUCCUCUCAGCUACACAUAAUUUUUGUUGUUAAACUAAUGGAGCUCUUAAAUAUGACAGUCUGUCUUUAAUUAAAAAAAAAAAAACUAUGGCUGAUCCAUAUGUUUUCUAAUCGAGACAGCAUAAAACCUCCAUAUGUUUAAACAUGCCAUACUCUGGACUGUGGUACACACACACACACACACACACACACCACAGAACACUAUAUUCACUGUAACUAAACCACUGGGUGGAGUUGGGGAGGAUUUUUUCUUUUUUUUAAAUAAUAGCUACGUUUGUCAAGCAGGAUAUUUUUGCUCUGCAUUUUGUUGUAGUGGUGGGGAUGGCCAUUGUAUUUAGACUUUAUAUGGCCUGGGUUACCCAGCUCACAACAGAAACACCUGCACCAAAUUAAUUUGUUGUAGCACAUUAAUUAUCUCAUAGCUUCUAUUUAGGCUGCAGCUGUUGCUAUUAUGUUAAUAAUAAUUUUUAUCACCACUGUAUACAACAGGUUAUGGAGAGAGUAGAAAUCUCUCUUUUGGGGGGGGCUCCCCCUUUUCGUCUCUAUUUUUCAAUGUCAGAAGGGAAGCCUGAGAGGAAAUCAGGCAAAUUAAGCCCCCAAAGCGCACUGUAAUUUUCUAUUUCUGAACGGAUUUGUAAGAGAAUGGCUGAGUGAAGUUAGCAGAGCAUCACCCCCACACAAAGAUGGCGCGUGCAGAAUUUGUGAAAGCGGAAAGGAAGAGGAAGGACAAGCCAGAGAGGGUCGGCACACUGCGGCUGGGUGCAGCUGGAGUCCAGAAAUGAUUUUUUUCGACGAAUUUAGGAUUUUGCCGCAGUGUACAUCUGCAGUCCCAGAAUCCUCCGCCGUGAAAACACUUCUUUAGAGCGGUAAACCAAGGAAGGCCCGGAGAACAUGCAACUUCAAGUGUGAAGGAUGGUGCCAGCGUAACUAAAGGACCAGGCCACGCCACCUCCAUGGCCAUCACCUCCUGCCACCUUUGCGAUCUCUCCUCUGCCCUGCAGUUGUACACGCGCUGCGAGCUCUCCACGGUGGCUCUGUGCGGAAUCUGCCCAGUGGGUUACUAGACGGCUUCUGUGUGGGAGAAUAAGUGACAGAUAGACUGACAAGAGGUAUUUACAACUGCUUAGCCUGUUCAUCUGGAAAUUAACAAAACGAUGACACACCCCGACAUGAUGUUUUACAAAUCAAGUCUGGGUCCAUAAAUAGCCCACUUGACAAAUGUAGAGGGAAAAGCCGAUUGUGAUGUUUUUGCCUGGUGUUUCCUCGGUAUCAUAAAGAAAUUGUUUUAACAGGUCUUCUUAGAGAAUCAGCAUUGGCUGUUUCUGAAUGCAUGGAAUGUUGCUUGGUGCUACAUUUCUGCUGGGCAAGGAGUCUUCCUUGGGGGGGGGAUUGGGAUGGAAUCCAACGUGGACCACACCCUGAUUUCAGUUUGUUUUCCCAUCAUUUCUGCCUAUUGUCAAGUAGAGUUGACUCACAAUUACAGUUUUACUUUAAAUGAAGGCAUUAAUCAAAAGAAGCAAUCAUUGGCUGUCCUUAAAGGGAGGCUCAUUGUUUUAGGUGUGCAGUAAAUGUUUAAAUAAUGGAUUUGAUAGAGCUAAGUAUCCAAAAUGCAGAAGAACCAAUGCUGGCUUAUUAAUAUUUCUGCCCAAAGUGCAAAUACAAACUCUGUGUGUGUGUGUGUGUGUGUGUGUGUGUGUGUGUGUGUGUGUGUGUUUUAGUGAGUGUGCUCUAGGCUCAUGAUCUGUUUAGCCAAAGCUUGAUCUGCCCAUGGCCGGUGGCAGGACAAUCUAUCCUGAGUCUCUGUUAAACCAGCCGGAGACAGGUAUUUGUCUGCCCCCAUUUCUUGAAAUGAAUUACUUGAUGUGAAACCCAUUGGGUUACUCUUGGGAGAAAGGGUGUAAGAGAGAAACCAAGCAUUUUUGUGAAAUGUGUUAUCUAGGGUCAACUGUUUUAGCAAUUAAUUUUAUAAAACCACUUCACUUUUUAACUACUUAUUUUAUUUUCACAGAGGAGCAGAUUUCCUUAUUCACUAGGUAUUUUGAUGACAUGUUUCUUUUUGGUGUAAUGACAGUAUUUGUCUUAAUUUCACAGAAGUUAUUCAUCUUUUUUUGGUACAAAAUAUGGAGCAAUUUUGUUUUAUGGGAGAAGUGAACAAAAAUCCUGAGAAAUUUUAAAAUUCAGCUAACUGGUUUUAAGGUUAGUCAGCUGGUUAUUUCUCUACAGAAUUACACUUGAUGAGAAAGGCAGCAGUAUGCAUUGUCAUGCAAUCUACCUUUUCUCUGAAAUACGAUUUCUGUGAAUUAUCAAUAGGAACUGAGACUUUUAAUUCUAAACUGGGACUGAAAUACCCAAACUAUAUGCUUCAUUUUAGCAUCUGGCUAGAGAAAUACAAAUAUAAGGGUGCCUUUAUCUUUUAGGUCUUUCAAUGGUGCAGACAUUUCUUAACCGGUUUUAAU